UACAGAGGGGGCAAGCGUUGUUCGGAAUUACUGGGCGUAAAGGGCGCGUAGGCGGCCUUCUAAGUCGAACGUGAAAUCCCUGGGCUCAACCCAGGAACUGCGUCCGAUACUGGAAGGCUUGAAUCCGGGAGAGGGAUGCGGAAUUCCAGGUGUAGCGGUGAAAUGCGUAGAUAUCAGGAGGAACGCCGGAGGCGAAAGCGAGUGACUGGCGCGUUCCUGACGCUGAGGUGCGAAAGCUAGGGGAGCAAACAGG
rnacentral:rRNA from 1 species